UCUGGCGCCACCAUCUGUAGAACUCAGUGGCGUUGGUGCCACUGCUCUCAAAAGUUAGUCUGGAGCCCUGCUAUAUACAGGUGCAUCUCAAUAAAUUAGAAUGUUGUGGAAAAGUUCAUUUAUUUCAGUAAUUCAACUCAAAUUGUGAAACUCGUGUAUUAAAUAAAUUCAAUGCACAUAGACUGAAGUAGUUUAAGUCUUUGCUUCUUUUAAUUGUGAUGAUUUUGGCUCAUGUUUAACAAAAACCCACCAAUUCACUAUCUCAACAAAUUAGAAUAUGGUGACAUGCCAAUCAGCUAAUCAACUCAAAACACCUGCAAAGGUUUCCUGAGCCUUCAAAAUGGUCUCCCAGUUUGGUUCACUAGGCUACACAAUCAUGGGGAAGACUGUUGAUCUGACAGUUGUCCAGAAGACAAUCAUUGACACCCUUCACCCUUCAGGAGGGUAAGCCACAAACAUUCAUUGCCAAAGAAGCUGGCUGUUCACAGAGUGCUGUAUCCAAGCAUGUUAACAGAAAGUUGAGUGGAAGGAAAAAGUGUGGAAGAAAAAGAUGCACAACCAACCGAGAGAACCGCAACCUUAUGAGGAUUGUCAAGCAAAAUCGAGUCAAAAAUUUGGGUGAACUUCACAAGGAAUGGACUGAGGCUUUGUGCUGCUUUAUCCGACAAUAACGUGCAGGGUGUCAUAGAACUACAUUUAAAUAAAUUAAAUGUAUAGAUUUAAGUUAUUUAUUUAUGUAAUGUUCUAAUUUUAUAUGAUUAUUUAUGUAAAUUCUGCGUGACUGUGACGUGUUUUAAUGCGUGCGUGCUGAACAUUCGAGCCGCGUUGGUUCAAACACUGGAGUGGAGGGAGUUGCCAUGGAAACGGAGCGGCAACACAACGACUGACAAGCAGGAAGCUCCGUUUCUCGCUGCUGUUUUUACUGUUUUCGGUAAGUUUAGUCCCUAAAAUCUCACAAAUAUUAAAUACAGCUAUUCCUGACACCUCUCUUGCUUGUAUUUGACUCGUUUCUGGUGAAAUUAGUUAAUAGAAAUGGUUUAGUGUCUUCGAACAAGUCCGUUAGCAACUUAGCCGUUUUCAGAGGAUGUAGGCUAACUCCGUAGACUGAGCUCUUUUUGAAUGUUUGGGAUUUUAUUUACAUCUUUAUGUGUAGAUGAGAGGUUUUGACAGUUCUGUAAAAGUUUUGCUGGUAAUUUUUCAGUGGGUGAUUGGAAAUAGGCUCAUUUAUUUAACCUAAACAUAUAGCCUACACUGUACCGUUAAUCGGUGACGUCACUUACAUCAGCGGGACAAUUAACUGAAUCUAGUUCAAACGUAUUUUGAUCUCUCAUGGUCAACAAAUAUUGAUAAAAAACUGUUCUGUGAUUUCAGAAGAAAAACAAAAACACGGCAAGAUGGGAUGGCUCCAAGAUUUCACAAUUUCUGAAGGGAGCCGCAGACGGAGAAGUAAGGAACACAAGUGAACAGACUCAGAGCGGACCUCCUGUCGGACAACAUCUCCCAGGCACAAUGAACAAUAUGGUUGGUUACUAGAGAUUACACCAGUUCCAGUUUGGAUCCAGCCUGGCGUGUGAAGACUUCAGAUGACGCAAGC